GAGGAGUCAGACCAGGUUUUGGGGAGAGGAGAGGGUUCAGGAGGGUUAGAUGGGCCAGGGGGUGGGAUAAGGAGAAAGACUGGAUCAGGGAGUGGGUUUCGGGGAAAGGAACCCCUCUUCUGAGGAGCAGGUAGGUAGGAGGCAGGGAGUAGAUGAAGGGGGGUCUGCGCCUGGAUAAGCUGCGAAUUGGUCCUCAGCUAGUUGUACCGCCUCCUCCAGUGAGCCAGCCAGUGGCCCAUUCUGCUGUUCCCUCCAGUAGUCUGGUGACAAACUGCUCCAGUACCAUGUGCAGUUCAAGGAGGGCCUGAUGUUGAGUCUGGUGAAUGGUAUGGUUGAUCUCGGUGAGGGCUGAGCACUCCAUGGCAGCAUAUCAUCCUCAAGCUCCCGGGUUUUGGAAACCAGUGUUGGCGUGGGGAUGAUGAAGCGGGAGGCAGGGUUGCGACAACUCUAAAGGGCUUUUAUUGUCACUUUUCUUCCUGGCCAUGCUUUCCAGCACUUUCUGUCUUAUGGUCUCACCCCAAGAUACACCAACAUAUACACACACAGUGCAGUUCAGCUCAGCUGUCUCUCGUGUGGCUCCCAUCUCUUCCCUAUAUCUCCUCGCUGCCAUUCACUAAAAUCAGAGCCCUCAUUUGUCAAUCAUCAUCUAUUCAUAGUGCCCUCCAUUAACAAACUGGCACUCAACUACACCCCCAUUGACACAGUGAAAUAAGCCUGGUCUACUGACAAUUCUUUAAGCAUUUUGCUCAAGUUAGCAAGUUUUUUUUCUGUGUUUUAGGUUGUGUUCAUACGUAUACAUAUAGUCAAAUUAACAUUGUGUUGGCCUUUCAGCUUUGCUGUGCUUUAUUAAUUAUUAAUUUGUUAAUGCCACUUUCAAAUCUUUCUAUACAUCCCUAUACAAACCAGAAUCUUCAACUGAUAAUUAGAGCAAUUACUGAUUUUUUACAGAAUCUCAAGACUUUUACAAUUGAUUCAAGAUUUUUUAAAUUUUUUUAAAUAGAAACAAUCACUGCAAGUUAUAUACUGCAUAUAAUUGUGUAUGUGACAAAUAAAAAAAAAAUCUUGAAUCAGUUGUAAAGCAUCUAAACAUCUUGAUGCCCCUUUAAGUACAGAAUAAAUUGAAUUGUGUCAUGGUAGCGGUGAAUACUGAGCAGAACUAUGAUACCCAUUAGCCCCUGCACAUCACCUGACCAUGACACUCACUAUGUCACAUGAAUGUUCGCACCUGAUUCACGUUUAUAUUUAAUGAGCACUGUAUUUUAAGCCCUGGUUUUCACAUGUUCCAUUGUCUAGCUUUUGUCUUUUGUUGUCAUGGGCACCAUCUGCCACCUCUGCUACUAAAACCUGACAGAAAGCUAGAUCUAACCAUGGAUGCAGCAGAUUUGCUCAAGGGCCAGCAAGAACUCUUGGAGAAGAACUGCCUAAUGUGGGAACAACAGGGAACUCAGAGGACGUUGCUACAGCUCAUAGCUUCACUAUGGGCAUCGCCCCAUCUCCCUGCUCCACUGAGGACAUCACUAUGCUGUCCAGCUCCAUUUCAGCAUGUGUGUGUCUGUCAUGGUAGUGGUGAAUAUGGAACAGAACUAUGACACCCAUCAGCCCCUGUACAUCACCUGACCAUGACACUCACUAUGUCACAUGAAUGUUCACACCUGAUUCAUGUUUAUGUUUAAACAGCACUGUGUUUAAAGCCCUGGUCUUCAUAUGUUCCAUUGUGUAGCUUUUGUCUUCUGAUGUUGGGUGCACCCUCUGGUCUAUGUACAGUAUUUGCCUCGAGAUCAUAGUUCAUGUUUAAGAUUCUAUGAUUUAUGUUGUUUGUGUUGUUCAUGUUUUGUGUUAAAAUUAACUUUAUUUAAAGAAAUUUCAGAAGAAACGGGCACCACUAUUUCUGUCAGUACUACCAUUACUUCUUUAUUCUCCUCUCCUACCAUCUCUAAAUAUUGAAAUUGCUAUAUAACUACACGUACAUAUGAAUAUAUUUCUGGACAGCUCACAUGUAGGCUCAUAAAAUAAAAAAAUAUUAGUGCU